UUGCCUCAGCACUGGCAACUGCAGGCAGGAUCAGAGGAAAAUAAUUGGAAAUCCAGAAUGUCAAAUUUGCUGAUGUUCAUUGCUCUUGUCUUCAAGACCACAGGAGUGGAAACAACUCUGGGGGUCCAACCGGAGCGUGUCUGGAUCCAGUGCUGCUUUCAGCAAAGUGCACGCUCCACUAUGCUAUACUCAUGAUCACUCAUUUUGGAGACAGACAGCUGCUGUGUUGGAAGCAGCCUCACAUGGUUAGGAACAGAAGCAUCCUGCCCACAGCCGAGUGAGCUGGGAGCAUCUCUCCAGCCCCAGUCAAGCCUCCGGAUGACUGCAGCCCUGGCUGACAGCUCAAGUGCAAUCUCAGGAGACCCUGAACCACCAGGCUAAGCUGAUUCUUGACCUUCAGAAAUGAGUGAGGUUGGGGACCCCCGAAGUCUGAAGAUUGGUAGAGCCUGCUAAGAAAGCACCCAGAAGCUGGCACUACUGGAAACAUACCCCAAUCGAGACUCACCCCAAUGUUCUAGCUCUCCUGAAGCCCUUCCUCCACCUUCCACCUUCUACAUUUUGACGCAGAAACAGAGCUUCACAGAGAGACGGAAAACUCAUCACUGGCAGUGACUCAGAUGCAGGGCUUCCGACUCCAAGUCCUGUAAUCUUCCCACGUCUGCAGGAGGCAUUCUAGCCCUCCUCGUCACCACGCAGGGAAAACGAGACAAUCUCGAUUUCAAAGCCUUUCAGGUAACAGGAUCACACACCUGUUUGUACAGGGGGUAGAACUUCCUCUUGUGGCUGCCUGGACCGGGUUCCUCCCCUUACCUGGACCUGAGGGGUGUCCAGAAAACGAUUAAAAA